rnacentral:rRNA from 1 species
GAUGAACGCUGGCGGCGUGCCUAAUACAUGCAAGUCGAGCGAACAGAUGAGGAGCUUGCUCCUCUGACGUUAGCGGCGGACGGGUGAGUAACACGUGGAUAACCUACCUAUAAGACUUGGAUAACUUCGGGAAACCGGAUCUAAUACCGGAUAAUAUAUUGAACCGCAUGGUUCAAUAGUGAAAGACGGUUUUGCUGUCACUUAUAGAUGUAUCCGCGCCGCAUUAGCUAGUUGGUAAGGUAACGGCUUACCAAGGCAACGAUGCGUAGCCGACCUGAGAGGGUGAGCGGCCACACUGGAACUGAGACACGGUCCAGACUCCUACGGGAGGCAGCAGUAGGGAAUCUUCCGCAAUGGGCGAAAGCAUGACGGAGCAACGCCGCGUGAGUGAUGAAGGUCUUCGGAUCGUAAAACUCUGUUAUUAGGGAAGAAAAAAUGUGUAAGUAAAUAUGCACGUCUUGACGGUACCUAAUCAGAAAGCCACGGCUAACUACGUG